AUGAAUUUCUCAACUGAACCAUGUAAACCUAAACCAUCUAGGCUUAUGGGAAGAACCCAAACACCCAAAUUACCACAACCAACUUCACUUUUUGUUUCAAAACGAAGAACCCAAUUCAGAAAAUUCUACACGAACACAAUUCAAGUACUCUUCAACUCAAUUGAUUGCAACAAAAUGAAAUAUAACUUUUUGGUUUUUAUUUUGACAUAA
rnacentral:lncRNA from 1 species